CUUCACCUACGGGGGGCAGCAGUGAGGAAUAUUGGUCAAUGGGCGAGAGCCUGAACCAGCCAAGUCGCGUGAAGGAUGACGGCCCUACGGGUUGUAAACUUCUUUUGUCAGGGACAAAAUCAGGCUCGAGAGCCUGACCGAGGGUACUUGAAGAAAAAGCAUCGGCUAACUCCGUGCCAGCAGCCGCGGUAAUACGGAGGAUGCGAGCGUUAUCCGGAUUUAUUGGGUUUAAAGGGUGCGUAGGCGGGCUGUUAAGUCAGCGGUAAAAGCCCGGGGCUCAACCCCGGCGAGCCGUUGAAACUGGC
rnacentral:rRNA from 1 species